UACCAACCUUUUCUGCAUCUGCUAACACAGGAGCCAUUGGUACCAAGUGAUGGUCAUUUUAUGGCCGGCAAAGGACCUUAAAUCAUCUAGCCCAAGCCCCUCUUUUGAGACAACUGAAGCCCCGAGAGGUUGUCAACAGCCUAAAGUUACUCACCUCGCGGCUGGCUGAGGCAGGACCAAAACCCAGAGGCCCUGGAUUCUGGAGGAGACACUUCCUUUAGGACACCCACGCUGAACUUGCACAGAUGACCGUUGUGCACAGAUGGAAGGCUGAAUGCUUUGUGUGCUCGGCUCACUCUAGAGGCCUUGUUGAAUUAAGCAGAGUGCCUGGCAGGGAAGAGGAUGAAAAUGCUGAGAGAAGACCAAAUUGCUCUCCCCCACCGCAGGCGGAGGGUGAACCUUGAAAGAAAAGUUCACAAGAAGGUUGAAGAGGCAGAAGAGAUGGGGCAAAAGUGGAUGGACUAAGUUUGCAUUGAUGUGGCUCAAGAAUCCCUCCCUCUACUUGUCCUCAAGUUGCUAGACGCUGGUUAUUUAAAUAUGAUGGAGAAAUCCUCCCAGGGGUCUUGUAGGAGCUGCCGCCAUUCCAGUGAGAUCUGGCUUAAGCUGUAGUUACUAAAGAUUCCUGACUCAACCCAGACAUUGAAAUCCCCUCCAACUGAGACAGAGCGGAAUAAAAAAUUGGGGAAGAUGAAUUUUGGACCUUAAUUUUUUUGAAUUUUAACCCACAAAAACAAGAUAAUUUUAUUUUGAACCUUCCUUUCUUUGAACUUUCAUGUCUCAUGAUUUGGAUUUCAUUCCUUGGACCUUACUUUCUCCCUAACCAUUUGAUCAAAGGAAGAGAAGAAGUUAAUGUUAACAAAUCUUUUCCCCUCAACAUUAUUGGCAUUUUGUUAUUGAGGUUUUGUUAUGCAUAUUAAUAUUGGAAUCACGUAGUUUUGUCAUAUAACCUCCAUCCUGAUCCUCUGAUUUCCUCUGCCGACAACACGGACAGGCAUGAUAAAAACGGGUGACAGGAAAAUGAAAAUUUCAACCUUGGAUACAAAAAGGCAUUGAACUAUUUAAUUAAUGCAUUAUAGGGAACUAUUUUGGAACCUUUUGUGAGUGAAAUCUCUUCCCCAUCACUGCUCCUGGGAGGACACCAAGUUGGCGGGUAUAAGAGGGAAGGGUGGCCUCUUGAAGAUGGAGCAAGACUGUUCUGAUAGGCUGCUGGGACCCUCUCUUAAGGAUGUCAGAUACACCUCUGGUUGACAGAGAUUUAAUGUCUAUGCCAGUGGUUUAAGAGAACCAAAAAAUCAAGGGGCUAUUAGUGGGAGAAUAAUUCUCCCAACUUUUGAUAUUACCUUCUGUCAUAGGCUGAGUGGUUCCCCAAACAUGUCCAUGUCCUAAUCCCCAGAACCUGUGAAUAUCUUACCGUAUAGCAAAGACUUUACAGAUGUGAGUAAGUUAAGAUCCUGAGGUGGGGAGGUUAUCCUGGAUUAUCUGGUUGGCCUGAUGUGAUCACAAAGGUCCUUAUAAGAGGGACACAAGAGGAGUAAGAGUCAGAGAGGAAGGUGAUGCGAUGACAACCAGAGAUGCAACUGAUGAUCAUUGGCAAUGGAGGAAGGAGACACAAGCAAAGAAGCACAGGCAGCCACAAAGGACAAAAAACCCAACAAUAACAACAACAACAACAAAAAACCUGCCAGCACCUUGACUUUACCUCAGUGAAAUGGAUUUUGGACUUCCUACCUCCAGAACUACUAGAGAGCAAAGUUGUGUUGUUUUAAGUAACCGCAUUGUAAUUUGUUGCAGUGGCCACAGGAAAUGAAUAUACCUUCCAUACUUGAGGGAACCUGACUUAGUAGAUCUUUUGUGUCCUUGGAGAAGGCGAUGUAAUCUGAUGGGUGAAUCUGGAAUAAUAAAUCGGACACGAUUG